rnacentral:rRNA from 1 species
GUGCCAGCAGCCGCGGUAAUACGUAGGGUGCGGGCGUUAAUCGGAAUUACUGGGCGUAAAGGGUGCGCAGGCGGUUUUGUAAGUCAGGCGUGAAAUCCCCGAGCUUAACUUGGGAAUGGCGUUUGAGACUGCAAGGCUAGAGUGUGUCAGAGGGGGGUGGAAUUCCACGUGUAGCAGUGAAAUGCGUAGAGAUGUGGAGGAACACCGAUGGCGAAGGCAGCCCCCUGGGAUAACACUGACGCUCGGGCACGAAAGCGUGGGGAGCAAACAGGAUUAGAUACCCUGGUAGUCC